CACUAAUGACAUCCCAAUGGUACAUGCUUGUCAUUCCAGUGUAAUACCCCCUUUCAGGCACCCCCACUCUAGUCUCGGGAGUGAGAGAGCACCAAAAGAAACACAAGAAUCC
rnacentral:pre_miRNA from 7 species